CGCGCCGAAGCCCGGCUGGGCGGUGGGUGCCGGGUAUCCCCCGCGGAGGCAUCGGCUGUCCUGGUGCGGAGGCAGAGCGGGGCCAAACGUGACUGAGCGCUUCCUCAGGAAGCGGUGCGAACCUGCGGGCGGCCGGCAGCCAGCACCGUCCCCAGGUUGUAGCCUUUCCCUAGGAAACGGAGCCUGGGAUUCCCUGGCUCCUCCCUAGGGAGUGCUGCUUGGGCUGAUGGAGGCACUGGUGCUGGUGGUGCCCGGCGCCCGGCUGCCCGCAGAAGCCUCCAGAGCCAGGGCAGGGCAUUGCUCCUCUCCGCUUCCCGCUUGGGUUGUCGGGCUGCGGUGAGCUCGGCAGUCCCGUGGCAUCUGCAAGAGGACGGGAGCACCUGACCAGGGUGGCUUUGUCCGAAGCGGCUGCAGGGAAACGACCCUAAAAGCUGUUGCCUCCCAAAAAGCAGCCCUCCUGCAUCUGCCGAUAGUGAGGGACAUGGAGUGAAUGAAUCCUCCCUAAAUGAAAACGGAUGGGACGGCAUCCGAAGGCAGUGCGGUCAGCGCUGUCUCGCAAAACUUUGACCGCUGAGACGCACAACUCCCCAGCUGCUGCCAAAGACAUCAAAGCCGAUAGAUCAGGAAGUGUCAGUUUUGGAAAAGGAGGCUUUGCAAAAGCUGUGUACAACCUGAUAGUCCGGAUCCGCUCAGCAGACAGCACACGUAUCCCCCGCAGCAUCCAGGGGCGCGCACUUGGUGGGGGCUGGCCUAGGGCACGCCAAGCAGGCCUCAGGCGGGAGCCCCGAACACACCUUUCACAGGGCUUAGUGCCAGCACACCAUCUGUGAGCUCUGCACACAGCAGCACUCAUCCUACUUCUGCCAGGUGCCCACAAGCUCACAAGGACCGGCCUGAAGCAGCGAUCCCACUGAGAAGGCUCUAUUUUUACAGCGUUGAUGGGACCGUGCCGCUUCUUCUGGGAGCUCCGGAGAAGCUCCUCAUCCACCUGUGUGUGACAAUAAUAGCCGAUGAGUCAGGACAGCGGGGCUUUGUGACACUUCCAUCCCUCGUGUUGAGUCACCGGCCGGGAUGGGAUGGGUCCAGCUGGGAAAGCAACGUGCAGGAUGUGCCUGAAGCACAGAGCCAAAGCAGCAGGUCCUUUGGUGCGCCUGCCUGUGCGACCGAAAGCAAAUGGGGAUGGUACAUGCAAGCCAGGCUGGCUGCAGGCCUUCAGGCCGUGUCUGGAUCGUCACACUGCCCUGUGCAGGCUCAAGGUGCUUCCGUCAGAGUAACUUAACUGGAAUCCUUGAUCUGAAACCGAGUUUUCAGGAGAGCUCUUAGGGUGAUUCUGUGUUUGCUCACUGGCUUGUUUUCCCCUGUACAAGCAUUGUUUUAGGGCAGUAGUGGGGGUGUGCACGUGUCCUAAGGGUGCAUUUCUUUAACGUAAUGCAUCAUGUGGUGCAAGUGUAACAAUUAAUUCAGACACCCCCUCCACAAAGGAAAGCAGAAAUUCUUCUCAGCACGUAGAAAUCAAGUGCGCAAGUCUGUUUUCACUUACCCUGAACUCAGUCAGGAACUCAAUGAGUUUCAUCUGGGGGGAAUUAGUGAUGGAGAACGUGUCCUGAAUGUCCACAUACAUGAGCUGCUGUCUCAGAAUGUCCUCAGAUAACCCAUCCUCUUGGACAACGGCUGCUGUGUCAGCAGCGUAGUCAAUGAGAAGCUGGGUGAGGCUGUGGGGUGCUGCGGCAGCCUGCUUGCUCCAAGUACCCACACUUUUGCAAUGAACCUGAGCAGAGCCACGGCCGUCGCAGCAGUGGCUUUGUUGUACCCAUCCCCAUAGGCAGCACCGUGUGGUGUGUUACACUGACACGGGCUCUGGGGAGCAUUUCGAUUGUGUAAGGCUUCUCU
ensembl:lncRNA